rnacentral:piRNA from 1 species
UGAUGGGUGAAGCCUGAUGAUGGGCAU